AUUUAAAUAGCUUAUAUAUAGAGUUUGAUAGUGAAGUUAUCAAGGAAGUAAAAAUACUUUUAAAUA
rnacentral:tRNA from 1 species